rfam:Herbaspirillum seropedicae SmR1, complete genome.
GGGGGUUUAGCUCAGCUGGGAGAGCACCUGCUUUGCAAGCAGGGGGUCGUCGGUUCGAUCCCGUCAACCUCCA